UCCCAGGUGGCUUAGUGGUAAAGAAUCUGCCUGCCAAUGCAGGAGACUCAGGUUCAAUCCCUGGAUCAGGAA
rnacentral:tRNA from 1 species